rnacentral:rRNA from 1 species
UUAAAUUGAARAGUUUGAUCAUGGCUCAGAUUGAACGCUGGCGGCAGGCCUAACACAUCCAAGGCGAACGGCAACAGGAAGCAGCUUGCC